CACAUACCUGUCCACAGAGAAACAGGAUGUGAUGUCACAGAGGUGAUGUCAAUGGGGGUCAUCAGGUGAGUAAACCAUCGGUGGAACAGUGACGAUUCAGUGCGUCGGGUCGGUGAAGAUGUUUCAGCGGUAUGUAGUAAAACUUUAACUUCACCUGUACGUCACAAACAUUUCAGUAGGAAUCUGUGAUUCUUUAAUAUUUGUUCAUACUAACCGAACGUUGUAGACCAGCCUCAGACCAUACAAUGAUGGGCCGGCUCUCUCAGAAAAUGUUAAGAAACUUUUUUACUAAAUGAAAAGCAUAUUCAAACUGAACUUAUUUAAACAGACUGUAAUAUUUAAAAGUAUUUAUUUACUAAUUUACUGAUGUUUGAACCCAUGUCAUCAUUACUGUGACAUUAAAAUAUUCAAAUAUAAAGAGUGAGUUUUCCAGUCGGAGCUGACUCCUCCCACUGAACUAUAAUGAUGGUACUGUACUGCUAGGGUCCUAAGGACAGAGGGAUGUCGUAUGAUGUAAAGCCCUGUGAGGCUAAUUGUGAUUUGUAACAUUAUAAAUAAAACUGACUGACUGAUUGAUUGAUUGAUUGUAGUCACUGUAGUAACCGUAGUUACUAUAGUAGUUACUGUAGUAACUGUAGUUACUGUAGUACUCACUGAGGGGAAGUUGUAGUUACUGUAGUUACUGUAGUACUCACUGAGGGGAAGUUGUAGUUACUGUAGUUACUGUAGUACUCACUGAGGAGGUGCUGUAGUUACUGUAGUUACUGUAGUACUCACUGAGGGGGAGCUGUAGUUACUGUAGUACUCACUGAGGAGGUGCUGUAGUUACUGUAGUACUCACUGAGAAGAAGCUGUAGUUACUGUAGUUCCUGUAGUACUCACUGAGGGGGAGCUGUCAUUACUGUAGUUACUGUAGUACUCACUGAGGGGAAGUUGUAGUUACUGUAGUUACUGUAGUACUCACUGAGGGGGAGCUGUAGUUACUGUAGUUACUGUAGUACUCACUGAGGAGGUGCUGUAGUUACUGUAGUUACUGUAGUACUCACUGAGGAGGUGCUGUAGUUACUGUAGUUACUGUAGUACUCACUGAGGAGGUGCUGUAGUUACUGUAGUACUCACUGAGAAGAAGCUGUAGUUACUGUAGUUCCUGUAGUACUCACUGAGGGGGAGCUGUCAUUAUUGUAGUUACUGUAGUACUCACUGAGGGGGAGCUGCAGUUACUGUAGUUACUGUAGUACUCACUGAGGAGGUGCUGUAGUUACUGUAGUUCCUGUAGUACUCACUGAGGAGGUGCUGUAGUUACUGUAGUACUCACUGAGAAGAAGCUGUAGUUACUGUAGUUCCUGUAGUACUCACUGAGAAGAAGCUGUAGUUACUGUAGUUACUGUAGUACUCACUGAGGGGGAGCUGUCAUUACUGUAGUUACUGUAGUACUCACUGAGGGGGAGCUGUAGUUACUGUAGUUACUGUAGUACUCACUGAGGAGGUGCUGUAGUUACUGUAGUACUCACUGAGAAGAAGCUGUAGUUACUGUAGUUCCUGUAGUACUCACUGAGGGGGAGCUGUCAUUAUUGUAGUUACUGUAGUACUCACUGAGGGGGAGCUGCAGUUACUGUAGUUACUGUAGUACUCACUGAGGAGGUGCUGUAGUUACUGUAGUUCCUGUAGUACUCACUGAGGAGGUUCUGUAGUUACUGUAGUACUCACUGAGAAGAAGCUGUAGUUACUGUAGUUACUGUAGUACUCACU